rnacentral:rRNA from 1 species
AGUGAACGCUGGCGGUAGGCCUAACACAUGCAAGUCGAACGGCAGCACAGUAAGAGCUUGCUCUUACGGGUGGCGAGUGGCGGACGGGUGAGGAAUACAUCGGAAUCUACUUUUUCGUGGGGGAUAACGUAGGGAAACUUACGCUAAUACCGCAUACGACCUACGGGUGAAAGCAGGGGAUCUUCGGACCUUGCGCGAUUGAAUGAGCCGAUGUCGGAUUAGCUAGUUGACGGGGUAAAGGCCCACCAAGGCGACGAUCCGUAGCUGGUCUGAGAGGAUGAUCAGCCACACUGGAACUGAGACACGGUCCAGACUCCUACGGGAGGCAGCAGUGGGGAAUAUUGGACAAUGGGCGCAAGCCUGAUCCAGCCACACCGCGUGGGUGAAGAAGGCCUUCGGGUUGUAAAGCCCUUUUGUUGGGAAAGAAAAGCAGCAGGUUAAUACCCCGCUGUUCUGACGGUACCCAAAGAAUAAGCACCGGCUAACUUCGUG